CUAUAACUCCUGGGAGCACAUUAUUUUGGAAAAUUUUGGGACAAUAAAUAAUGGCAAUAUUAAUACUCAAAUUUUUUGUGGGAUAUUAUUUGAGGAAGUAAGUGUGAGGUCUCAUUUUGGUCUUAGAAAAAUUAAGGUGUUUUUAGGUGUUUUGAGCCAAAAAUGACUUCUCUUAACCACCUUCACCUAAGCCUUACAUUACAAGCUUGAAAAAGUCCUUUUGAUCUUUGGUUUGUGUUUGUCUACAUUAGUGGAGAGAGAGAUGAAAAACAAACCUAUGAGACUUUUUCACUUUAGAGAUUUUGUGCUUAAUUCAUAUUUACAUAAAUUGAUCUAAAUUGCAAGUAAUAUUUUGAUAAAAGGCAUUUCACACACACACUUGGAGUAAUCGAAAUUGGAAUGAAACUUGUGCUUGAAUUCUUCACAAUCAUUGGACAAUCUUUUUAUUUUUCUCUAAGCUAUGUUCAUUAAUCAACCUUUAAGGAAAUGUGGAGAUCACCAACUUUAGUGUCAUAUUGCCUAUUGUUUUACAUUGAUUUUAGUUUAUUUUUUCUUUUUGCUUGAGGACAAGCAAAGUUUAAAGUUUGGGGUGUGAUAACUCUAUGAAAAUAGAGUUAUUUAUAUCUUUUUGGGCAUUAAAUUAGUUUUGUUCUCAAGAAUUUUUAGUUUAUUUUAGUGACUUUUAUUUGGUUUUCUUUAAUUUUGCAUAAAUAUUAAUUUUAGUAUUUUGAAAUUAGUUUUAAUUAAUUUUUUUAAUUUUUAUUUGUUUAUUUAGUCUCCCAAUUAAUUAAAUAUAAUUGUGUGUGAUGUUGUAGGAAUUUAAAUGCAAAAUUGAUAUUAAGUGUUAUGGGCCAUGAUGUUGGGCUUUUAUUUCACUAGUUGAAAGUCAAAAGAAAGAAAGAUUGGGCCAAAAAAAAAAAACAAAGAGAAAAGAAAAUCAAGUGAGGGCUUGAUUUGGAAAAAAAAUAGAAAUGAAAAAAAAAAAAAAAGACAUUAUAUAUAUGAUGGAUUGAAGGCAGUAGGCGUGAUACAAGAUUGAAGAAAAGGGGCGGCUGGGCUGCUUGCUCCUGACGCCGAAGAAAAUGAAGAAAAAGAAGAAAAAGAAAAUGAAGAAAAAGAAAAAGAAGAAAAAGAGAGAGAGAGUUUUAUUUAGGGUUUUAAUUUAGCAUUUUUAUUUAGAGAUUGGCAAAAAUUAAGAGGAAGAAGAAGAGAAAUUUGGAAGAGGAACUUGGAGUAUUGUGACAAGCUCCAAAUGGGUUCAAAAAAUAAAGGACGGAAGCUACCUAUUCAAAAUUCAAUCCCAUAAACAUUAAAAAGGAGAAUGUGAAAGGAGAAGCAGUGAGCUGGAACAGGCAGCAAGGGAAGGAUCGACCUCAUAGUCUACUCAACAAUGAAGUUAACUGUUAUAGUAUUAGUUUGUCAUAGUUAAAUGUUAUGUAAUUGUUAGUGUUAAAUGUUAUAGCAUUACUGCUACUGCCUCCAUUAAUAGAAAGCUUUUAUUUUGGAAUAGAUAACUUUUGCGCUAGGUUUAUUUUGGAACAAAUCUUUUUAGAAUGGUUAGGUAAUUGAGUCUUUAACUUUUGUGAUAGGUUUAUUUUGGGACAAAUCCUGUUGGAAUAUGUAUACUUUAACUUUUAUGUUGGCAGUAGAAGAUCUAAACUUGUCAAAAUAACCAUUUUCAUUCCAAAAUAUCAAGUAUUACAUGCAAAAUUAAUAGGAACACUUGUUCAAAAUCCUACUAAAUAAUAAAGUUAAAAUAGGAUCUUGAACCAAAACAAUACAAAAGAAACAACAACGCAAAUGACAAUAUUUUUACAAAAGGCAUUUUUACUAUUUUUAUGGCAGCUCGAACACUGAGGAACUCGAACACUUGGACUGUUAUCAUGGAGGCUCUCACUUUCAGGUAGCCUUUUAAGUUAAGGUUGCUCAUUUAUUUCUCUCACUUAUGACCUAAAAAUUAUUGAUAUUUCUUGUUUUAACUGACGAAUCUUUUUCAACAGGCUAGGAAUCACAAUAGUGGCACGAUCACACAUAGGAGGAUCGAUUCAUUCCCAAAACUCACACCCACCACGACGCUGCCAAUCAAGAAAUAUUGGCAUAGUAUAGCGAAGAAAAACCUAAAAAAAAAAGGAAAAAAGAAAGAGAAGAAGAGAACUCACAAGACUUAGAGGGUACUUUGCAGAUCUUCUUCCUGGGUUCGAACUCGUCCACGAGGUGUAACAUUUUGGGAUUUUAGGCUACUCGCAAUCGCAAUUCCUCCUUUAGACCGUCACCAUUUUCUUCUUUUUCGCACAACAAUGGCGCCUAGUUUCUUUCUCUCCUUUCGAUCUUCUUCAUUCUUUGUUUUUUGUUUAUUUAUUUAUAUUUUUCUUCUAUUUUCAUUUAUUUUUUAAUUUUUAUCU